UCCCGCUUUCCGCCCAGAGCUCACAGGCAUACGACUCGCUGUCUCACACGUGGCAGCGAAAGCCACCGCACAAUCGCAUAAAGCAAAGCGAGCCAACGAAGGGAGGAAGCAGAAAAGGAAAUCCACAUACGCACACGGGAGCGACAAGGCUGUGCUAAGUCCGGGAGGGGGACGCGAUGCUUUUCAGCACCGGCCUGUCGCGCUGCUUCGCGUCUCUUGCGGUAGCUUCGGCCUCCAGCUUUAUGCAGUCUCACCCGACGACGGAGACGGCGCUUCACACAGGGGACAAGCUGACACUAUGGAUCGAUGACACAGCGCCGGCGGCGAGAGCGCUUGAGGAGCACAUUCAGAGUGCGGCUUACAAGGAGCUGCACCGCCCAGCUCUGACCACGUCGGCAAUGGGGCUCUUCGGCGGAGAGCCUGGCUUUGAGAAGGCCCACCGCGUGUGGGUGGACCCGGACCGGCCGCACAUGAAGCACAUGUACAAUCAAACUCCACUGGCAAAGAACCUGCGCUAUACACGGUACGGCUACUUCAAGAGAGACAUGCAUCUGCUAGACAUUGAUAAGCUGGUGCGGCAUGCGCGCAUGCUGCCGACACCGAACCGGUUACUGACUGACUUCCUGUACCAGCGCGUGCCGCUGCCGGACAAGAGCUGCGCGGCGAUUCUGCGUUAUCAGAGGGACCAGCUGACGCUUGUGGCGGAUUGGCAGCGCGUGGCGAGCUUCCAAUGUGCGGAGGAGAUCUUUGAGCGGAUGGUGGUAACGAACAUUCCGCCGGUCGACGUCGGGCCCGAGACACACGCGGAGAUGAUCCGUUGCUGCGCUGUGUGCGGGGAGUGGGAAAAGGGCUGGGAUGUGUACCUGCAGCGGGCGCGGGAGAUGGAGGCGGACGCCACCGGCGACGCGGCCGACGCCUUCACGCUGACCACGUACCUGUACGACGCGGUCUUGGAGCUGUGUGUGGCGUGCCAGAAGCCGUCGCACGGCAUGGCCAUCAUGGCGGAGGUCAUUCAACGGCAUCUGCGGCCGCGUCCCUCAAUGCUGGCCAAGACGAUGAUACUGGUGUCGAUGGCUGCCGAGGAACUGCAGAAGGCGCCCGCUGCGUCCAGUGCGUUUGCAUCCGGCGAAACGACGGAAGCGGCAUCAGCAUCAUCGAGCGCAUCACCGGAUGCUCUGAGUGGGGUGAGCGGAGUACCGGCUACAUGGGAAGCCUACACAGCUCGCGGCCUCGAUACGUGGUCGCUCUAUGACUUCUACUCGCUGAAGCGCAGCAGCGAGUGCGUGGAAGCCUACAUGCGCAUGUGCAGCAUGCUGAACAUGCCAACCCUCGUUCUCGAGGCGCUCAGCUUUGCUGACGGCGCACAAAUUCGUGUCUCGCUGGAGUGCUACCAAUGGGCGCUCUACUCCAUUCGCCACGUCCCUGACAUGGGGGACUACAUCGUCGAUGUACUUGGCCAGUUGUCGCAGCGUGGGCUGACCGCAGACUACCUCCUCUUCACCAUGGCGUUUCUCGACUGUGCCACACAGGCGGAUGGUGAGCUGGCGCUGGCGGUUUACGAGCAGUUCUUUCUGCAUAGCGACAUCAAUCCCACCCCGGAGAUGGCGUUGCUUUUCUUGCAGGCCUGCACAACGUGCGACAAGCCGACAGUUCAGAUGUACGCCAGCUGCGAGGUGAUGAUGCAGCGACUCGAGGAGGUAGGGAGCAUCGUCGACAAUAUCCUGCCCAUGUACGACCAGUGCAUCGAGCUGGCGGCGCACGUUGGCGCGGUGAGCAGUGCCUACGGAAAAGUGAAGAAGCUUGUCAGCUAUGGCAAGCCGCUUACGACCCGCAUUCUCAACUCGCUGCUGCUCGCCAACGCACAGUCGGCGGAGGGCUCGCUGAGCAUGACCUCUGACGUUAUUCGGCUGUACUCCUUCUUGGGCAUCCCCUUCAACGAUGAUACGCUGACGUGUCUGCGCAUGUGCCAGGAUACGCACGGCACCUCGGCUGAGGUGGCCUCGUUUGCUGCUGCCAUCGAAGCUGCGCAAGCCGCCGCGCCGUCCGGAACGCUCGGUGAAGACGCCGAGACGAUGGUUGUCGACACGCCGCCGCACCGCCUGCGUCAGCUGAAGACGAAAUGGCACCUACGACCGCGUGACACGGUAUUGCGUCGCUUCGGCCAGCACACCAAGCCGAUGGGUCGUGAGGAUGUGGGCAGCAUGCUGGGCAGUGUCAUUCCCUUUGGCCGGUCACCAGGCGAGCGAGCGGUCUAGAACGGGUGAGGAGAGGGAUCCUUAUCGUAGUGGUGGCAUGACACGUUACUGUCCUGUGCUCAACACCGGUUGUCGCAGCACACAGCGCAUAGCGGGAGGAGAGGGCGACGCAUAUGGUGCGUUGUUCUCGCCUGUCCAAUGCUGCAUGUGCAUGCGUGUGCGCAUGUGCGCUGCUCAUCCUCUUCACAGUUUCGAUUUUGCGUCUCUCUCUCUCGCGCACCUUCUCCCUACCCCGCAGGCGCGCGUAGGUGCGGCGUCGAUCUUUCUCCUCUCCUUAUGUGCUGUGACUUGUACUUGCUAAGCCAAAGCGUUCUUCUGGAUGGCGGCCACGUAACUCCAUCUCAUCCGAGUUGCCCUCUUCCCCCCUCUUCCACUCCCCGUCCCUCCCAUAUCUGUGCAACCAGCUGCAGCACUGCCCCCCCCCCCCCCCCCUCUCUGCGCUACUCUGGUGGAAUCGACGGCGGCGCCAGCGAGGGCUGGCGCAGUGUGACUCACUCGUCUCAAUCAGCGCAGGAAGGGAUGGGGAGGGGGGGGCAGCCAUCGUGCUGCUUUUCCUUCCCUACCAUGCCGUCAUGCCACACGCGCCUCGACGCGCCGUACGUCGAUUCAAUGGCGCAUGUUUUUAUCUACCUAGUGACGUGCGGGGGAGACAACGUCUUCUGCCCGACUCCUGUGAGAUCGGGCAUGACUCACCAUGUAUGUGCAUGCGCGCCUCUCUGCCUGCUUCUAGCCGCGCUAGCAGCUCUUCACAUACAACUUCGUCCUUCUCUCCCUUCUCUCUUGCUCACCCAACUGCCUUUUGACCAG
rnacentral:misc_RNA from 1 species